rnacentral:rRNA from 1 species
GACGAACGCUGGCGGCGUGCUUAACACAUGCAAGUCGAACGGAAAGGCCCUGCUUUUGUGGGGUGCUCGAGUGGCGAACGGGUGAGUAACACGUGAGUAACCUGCCCUUGACUUUGGGAUAACUUCAGGAAACUGGGGCUAAUACCGGAUAGGAGCUCCUGCUGCAUGGUGGGGGUUGGAAAGUUUCGGCGGUUGGGGAUGGACUCGCGGCUUAUCAGCUUGUUGGUGGGGUAGUGGCUUACCAAGGCUUUGACGGGUAGCCGGCCUGAGAGGGUGACCGGGAAAAUGGGGACGGAGGGAGGGCCCAGCCGGCAACGGGAGGCAGCGGGGGGGAGUAUUGCACAGGGGCCGGGAGCGAGUGGCGACAGGGCGGCGGGGGGGAAGCGGGCUUUGGGGUGAUAAACAGCUUUGGCCGGUGAAGAAGCGUGAGUGACGGUAAUGUAAAAGGAAGCACCGGCUAACUACGUG